GAACAUCUCCCUCUCCGUCAAGAAGCUGCAGAGCUACUUUGCUGCCUGUGAGGAUGAGACGCCAGCCAUCAGAAACCAUGACAAGGUCCUGCAGCGGCUCUGCGAACAUCUGGACCACGCUCUGCUCUAUGGCCUGCAAGACCUCUCCUCAGGCUACUGGGUGCUGGUCGUUCACUUCACCCGCCGGGAAGCCAUCAAACAGAUCGAAGUGCUUCAGCACGUGGCCACCAACCUGGGACGCAGCCGGGCAUGGCUGUACUUAGCCCUCAAUGAAAACUCCUUGGAGAGCUACUUGAGGCUGUUCCAGGAGAACCUCAGCCUGCUGCACAAGUACUAC
rnacentral:lncRNA from 1 species